rnacentral:rRNA from 1 species
UGGGGAAUCUUCCGCAAUGGACGAAAGUCUGACGGAGCAACGCCGCGUGAGUGAAGAAGGUUUUCGGAUCGUAAAACUCUGUCUUUUGGGGCGAACGUGAGUAUGGUGAACAAUCAUAGUCAGUGACGGUACCAAAGGAGGAAGCCACGGCUAACUACGUGCCAGCAGCCGCGGUAAUACGUAGGUGGCAAGCGUUGUCCGGAAUUAUUGGGCGUAAAGAGCGCGUAGGCGGGAUAGUCAGUCUGUUGUAAAGUGCGGGGCUCAACCCCGUGAUCGCAAUGGAAACAGCUAUUCUUGAGUGCAGGAGAGGAAAGUGGAAUUCCCAGUGUAGCGGUGAAAUGCGUAGAUAUUGGGAGGAACACCAGUGGCGAAGGCGACUUUCUGGACUGUGUCUGACGCUGAGGCGCGAAAGCCAGGGGAGCGAACGGGAUUAGAUACCCCGGUAGUCCUGGCCGUAAACGAUGGGUACUAGGUGUGGGAGGUAUCGACCCCCUUUCCGUGCCGGAGUUAACGCAAUAAGUACCCCGCCUGGGGAGUACGGUCGCAAGACUGAAACUCAAAUGAAUUGACGGGGGUCAUAGCUGUUUCCUG